AUUGAACGCUGGCGGCAUGCCUUACACAUGCAAGUCGAACGGCAGCGGGGACUUCGGUCCGCCGGCGAGUGGCGAACGGGUGAGUAAUGUAUCGGAACGUACCAUUGAGUGGGGGAUAACGUAGCGAAAGUUACGCUAAUACCGCAUAUUCUCCCCGGAGGAAAGCAGGGGACCGCAAGGCCUUGCGCUCUUUGAGCGGCCGAUAUCAGAUUAGCUAGUUGGUGAGGUAAAGGCUCACCAAGGCGACGAUCUGUAGCGGGUCUGAGAGGAUGAUCCGCCAGACUGGAACUGGGACACGGUCCAGACUCCUACAGGAGGGAGCAGUGGGGAAUUUUGGACAAUGGGGGCAACCCUGAUCCAGCCAUGCCGCGUGAGUGAAGAAGGCCUUCGGGUUGUAAAGCUCUUUCGGCCGGGAAAAAAUCGCAUGGGCUAAUACCCUGUGUGGAUGAUGGUACCGGAAUAAGAAGCACCGGCUAACUACGUGCCAGCCGCCGCAGUAA
rnacentral:rRNA from 1 species